rnacentral:lncRNA from 1 species
GAUGGCUUUCUUACUCGCUCCAUAUCCUGAGGACCACUCUUGGAAUUAUUGAUUUUCCGGCUGCGAGGAGGUAUGUUAAGGUAUGACGACAAUUGUGCUGAAUGAGACUUGAUCGAUUUUCGUUAGCAUUUUGUAACUCCCUCCAUUACCAAAUGUAACUGAGUGGAACACGAUUAACAAUGGUAGACCCUGUUAAUAUUGGCUAAUGUUUAUUUUCACCUCCCACCAAUCUAAACAGGAUUCAAGUAACUCUUUAUUAUUCUCAUACUUCAAGUUUAGUCCAUUAGGCACACUCUGCAACUUGCCAACAGCCACCCUAUCAAUAUUCUUGGAUUCUGUAGUGAUUAUGACUUGGCUUGCUCAUGCUUUGUAUUUUGCAGGUUUUGGAGGUGAAAUGACUAGCCAAGAACACAUGAAGUGGGUUGGACAAAACACACAAACAAAUGGCCAAAUUGGAUUUUUGAAGCAUCAUGGACAAAUGGCAAACUUCAGGAUCAAGAUUGAAUUUUAGAUUAGAAAUAGGAUCGGGACCUAUGGAUUUUAGGAGUUUGGGGAUUGGGUUGACUUUGGUCAACUUUGACCGAAAAGUAAACUGUUGACCAAAGUCAACAUGUGGUCAAACUUCCAUAUUUUUUUUUGUAAUUUUCUCAAUGCUUGGACAUUUGUGAUGAAUAUGUAAUGGCAAUUGAAGUUACAUGAAUGAAAUGAACGGUUUACAUAUAGAAGUGAUCCUUGUAUGACCUUGGGUGAACUGAAUUUGAAAUGAAUGAAUUUGAUGAC